AAAAAGCAAAUUACCGAAGACAGCAAGGGGUUUAAACCUUAAUAAUCUUGCCGAGGGACGUUUCUUAAAAGCACUUAUUUUAAGCUCGUCCUUAAUCGGAGAGCUUUUUUU
rnacentral:sRNA from 1 species